rnacentral:rRNA from 1 species
UACGGAGGUGCGAGCGUUGUCCGGAAUCAUUGGGCGUAAAGAGCGUGUAGGCGGCCCGGUAAGUCCGCUGUAAAAGUCAAAGGCUCAACCUUUGAAUGUCAGUGGAUACUGCCGGGCUAGAGUCCGGAAGAGGCGAGUGGAAUUCCUGGUGUAGCGGUGAAAUGCGCAGAUAUCAGGAGGAACACCAAUGGCGAAGGCAGCUCGCUGGGACGGUACUGACGCUGAGGCGCGAAAGCGUGGGGAGCAAACAGG